UUUUCAUUUCCCAGAUACAGCUGAUCGAGUUCGCCAAGUGGCCGAGCGAGUGAGCGCUCCUCCGACUUGGGUGGAGGAAGGACAGAAGAGCUCCUUGGCACUGGAUGCCUCCGGGUCUGGUUGAGAGAGGAAUGGUUAGGAGAUUGUUCUGAGGAUAUGCAGACAUCAUCCAAAGCUUCCUACAUUCAGAUGAGGACAGAGGUUGGGCUAGAGCUUUGUAUGCUUGUUACCUAAGUAUGGUUCUGACCAUGUAAGCAGAUCACAGAAGCACUGUUCACAAUAGCAAAGUCUUGGAACCAAUCCAAAUGCCCAUCAAUGAAAACCUGGAUAAAGAAAAUGUGGCACAUACACAGCAUGGAAUACUAUGCAUCCAUAAAAAAGGAUGAGUUCAUGUCCCUUGCAGGGACAUGGAUGAAGCUGGAAAACAUCAUUCUCAGCAAACUAACCUGGAGGCAAAUAAUGCCAAGAUGGGAAAGCCACAUAAUGGAAGGAUCCCAGAUUUCAGAGCUGUCACUUGGAGGAGGGGCACACAGUGAAGGUGUCUAUCUAACCCACACCAUAUCUUCAUGAAGUGGCCAUAUGGAUUUGAUCCCUAUCCUUCAGAGGUGCUCAGCCUAAGGGAACAUGGGUAGAAGAUUAAGCACUGACCAGGCAUGAAGAAACUGAAGCAUGGAGGAAAAACUAAACAACUAGCCCAAUGUCACACAGGCAAGCCAGCCUUGACAAUGUGCUGAUGGCAACC
rnacentral:antisense_RNA from 1 species